UGGUAAUGUGCAUGAAUUGGAUAUAUAUCAUUGAAAUACUCUUUAGUUUAUUAACAUCAUUUUAGAGUACAAAAUCAUAAAUACAAGGUACAUGAAAUUAAACAAUUAAAUUUAAAAAUUAUAAAGUUCUCGAACAAUAAAUAAAUGAUAUUUUAGAGAUAUAUUAUAUCAUAGAAUAUUACACGUUUAUAUUUUUACUCAUACUUUUCAAUAGAGCAUUUUUGUAUUCUUCUAGACCUAGUGUAUAAUUUGACAAAAGCGAUUAAUGCACUUAAUUGAUAUUAAUUUGGAAAUUACUUUUGGACAAUCGGCAUCAAUUUCACAUUUUAAUGAAAGCUUAGCAAAUUUUCCUGAAAUAAAAAAGAUUAUAAAAUAAUAUUAGAAAACAUAAUAAAAAGUUGUGUUCAAAUUUCAAAGAAUAGAAGAAAUUUAAAGAGAAUAAAAAUACCAGCAACAAGCGAUGUUGCAAGAAAUAAUGAAAUAUAAAAAAUCCAAACAUAAAAUAACUUCAAAAUUACAGCCAUAUUUUUUUCACUUUACAUAUAAAAGAUAGAACAUGAUUUAAUCUUUUUAUAGCAUGUAAAGUUCAUAUUGUUAGAUAUUUAAUUUAAUUGUAGUUUUAAUCCUUUGGAAGUUAUAAAAAUAUUUUAUAAAAUUAU
rnacentral:lncRNA from 1 species